ensembl:lncRNA
UACAGUUUGAUUCCAGGAUUUCUUUUCACUUGUGUUUAGAAACAGAAUCAUUUUAUUUCUGUGGGAUGAAGUUAGGGAAAUAAGAGAAAAACGAUGUUGAAAAAAAUGCUAUUUUUUUUUUCAACUCUCUAUUUUCAUGUGCUUUGAAAUAAAAUUGAAAAAAACCCCAAUGUGGCAUUUGCAGUAGUACAGAUAAGUGCAGUGAUUUGCAUGGAGGUGUGCUGGUAUUUUCUGUGUUUUCUGCUCUUCUAAACAACCACAUUUCGUCACAACCUGAACCAGUGAUUAAGCACCUGGUGAAAGGGCAUAGCCAGCCCUGGAAGCACAGGUGGAAGCAAUUCAUCUGUGUGACCAGAAGGGGUGGACUUUGGCUCUACUUCUCCCUAACUGCAUGUAAAAGCUGGCAGCCACGAAGGAAACAUCUCUACUUGGAGAUCACCCCCUUUGAAGUGCUGAGAGAGCCCUGAUCCCCAGAAAGGAGUGCCUUGACGUGGUGGGGAAAAACGGAUGAUGUCAAAUUAUAUUGAUGUCUUAAUGCUGACUUCUGCAUCUUUGAAAAUGCUUGAAAAAGCAGUAUGUUCACUACUGAAAUACCUACAAGGAAAAGAGCUAUCAACACACAAAAGGCUCAAGGGCCCAGAUGGCCA